CCUACGGGAGGCAGCAGUGGGGAAUAUUGGACAAUGGGGGGAACCCUGAUCCAGCGACGCCGCGUGAGUGAAGAAGUAUUUCGGUAUGUAAAGCUCUAUCAGCAGGGAAGAAAGAAAUGACGGUACCUGACUAAGAAGCCCCGGCUAACUACGUGCCAGCACCCGCGGUAAUACGGAGGGGGCAAGCGUUAUCCGGAUUUACUGGGUGUAAAGGGAGCGUAGACGGCGAUGCAAGUCUGAAGUGAAAGGCGGGGGCCCAACCCCCGGACUGCUUUGGAAACUGUAUGGCUGGAGUGCAGGAGAGGUAAGUGGAAUUCGUGGUGUAGCGGUGAAAUGCGUAGAUAUUAGGAAGAACACCAGUGGCGAAGGCGGCUUACUGGACUGUAACUGACGUUGAGGCUCGAAAGCGUGGGGAGCAAACAGGAUUAGAUACCCGUGUAGUC
rnacentral:rRNA from 1 species